GACGAACGCUGGCGGCGUGCUUAACACAUGCAAGUCGAACGGAAAGGCCCUGCUUUUGUGGGGUGCUCGAGUGGCGAACGGGUGAGUAACACGUGAGUAACCUUCCCUUUACUUUGUGAUAACUUCAGGAAACUGGGGCUAAUACCUGAUAGGAGCUCCUGCUGCAUGGUGGGGUUUGGAAAGUUUCGGCGGUUGGGGAUGGACUCGCGGGUUAUCAGCUUGUUGGUGGGGUAGUGGCUUACCAAGGCUUUGACGGGUAGCCGGCCUGAGAGGGGGACCGGCCACAUGGGGACUGAGAUACGGCCCAGACGCGUACGGGAGGCAGCAGUGGGGAAUAUUGCACAAUGGGCGGAAGCCUGAUGCAGCAACGCCGCGUGCGGGAUGAAGGCCUUCGGGUUGUAAACCGCUUUCGCCUGUGACGAAGCGUGAGUGACGGUAAUGGGUAAAGAAGCACCGGCUAACUACGUG
rnacentral:rRNA from 1 species